rnacentral:lncRNA from 1 species
GUGCAAUAGCUAUUCACCCUGAAUGAAUAGGUUCUAGUGUAACCGACUCUUCUGAUCUUACAAGAGUGAUUAAGGGCUGGAUUAUCUCGUCCACAAUGGCAUGUCUAAUGGCCCUGCAAUCUCGAGAUUGCACGAUCUUAUAGAUGUGCAACCAACUGUUUGACACCCUUUUAUGUAAAUAAUCGGAGCCCGAAGGAUUAAAGAUAAGCCAAUCAAUCCCUCUCAGAGUACUCCUUACUGCUCUUAUUGUUCUCUAAAUCUGACUUGAUUAUCGAAAGAUUCUCGCUGGAGUGAAAACCUCUGGUUUGGAUUUGUUUUGCAACUCACUCCAGUGCUAGCAUCCCUGCACGAAGCUUAGCCGCUUUCUCUCUAACCUCGACAAAAUCGAGCAGCAACAGGUGAGAUUGAUAGUGCUAGCAAGCUCUGCAUGAACUUCCCCAUCUGUAAGCUUCCGGGCAAGGGGCAACCUCCUAAUUUUCUCUCUUCAGGCAUUGCAGAUGUGGUGGAUAAUUCCAAUUUUAAGAUCCUUCUUCUCAGCUGGGCAUUUGCUCGUGCGCUGGGUUAUGGCAAAUGAUCCGUGGAUCAUUGAUAGCCAGAUUCUCGUGUUAGAACCUUGUGGCAGCCAAAUAUAGGUUCGCAAAUUUGGACAGCUUUCAAAUCCAAAGAAGAUAGUCAAAAUCUACAGAGCUGUAGUUUCAGGUGCAGAAUGGCUUAAAGAAGCCUUUUAUUGGCAAAUUGGUAAGGGCAAUCACAGUGAUGUCUC